GACGAACGCUGGCGGCGUGCUUAACACAUGCAAGUCGAGCGGAAAGGCCCUUCGGGGUACUCGAGCGGCGAACGGGUGAGUAACACGUGAGUAACCUGCCCCAGACUUUGGGAUAACCCUCGGAAACGGGGGCUAAUACCGGAUACGACACAGCUUCGCAUGGGGUCUGUGUGGAAAGUUUUUCGGUUUGGGAUGGGCUCGCGGCCUAUCAGCUUGUUGGUGGGGUGAUGGCCUACCAAGGCGACGACGGGUAGCCGGCCUGAGAGGGCGACCGGCCACACUGGGACUGAGACACGGCCCAGACUCCUACGGGAGGCAGCAGUGGGGAAUAUUGCACAAUGGGCGGAAGCCUGAUGCAGCGACGCCGCGUGAGGGAUGACGGCCUUCGUGUUGUAAACCUCUUUCAGCAGGGACGAAGCGUAAGUGACGGUACCUGCAGAAGAAGCGCCGGCCAACUACGUG
rnacentral:rRNA from 1 species